rnacentral:hammerhead_ribozyme from 1 species
AUCCAGACAACCAGUCCCAAACAGGACGAAACGUGCAUCCUGGAU